rnacentral:rRNA from 1 species
CCGCUCGUACCCUAAACCGACACUGGUGGUCUGGUAGAGUAUACCAAAGCGAUCGGGCGAAUCCUGGCCAAGGAACUCGGCAAAUUACUCCCGUGCCUUCGGCAUAAGGGAGACCCCUGAUGGUGAUAUGGUUUCACAUUGUUGAGCUGUUGGGGGUGGCACAAGCUAGGGGGUAGCGACUGUUUACCAAAAACACAGGAGCGUGCGAAGGCGUAAGCCGCUGUAUACGCUCUGACGCCUGCCCGGUGCCGGAAGGUUAAGAGGAUCCGUUAGCUUC